rnacentral:rRNA from 1 species
GGGUUGUGAGGUUAAGCGACUAAGCGUACACGGUGGAUGCCCUGGCAGUCAGAGGCGAUGAAGGACGUGCUAAUCUGCGAUAAGCGUCGGUAAGGUGAUAUGAACCGUUAUAACCGGCGAUUUCCGAAUGGGGAAACCCAGUGUGUUUCGACACACUAUCAUUAACUGAAUCCAUAGGUUAAUGAGGCGAACCGGGGGAACUGAAACAUCUAAGUACCCCGAGGAAAAGAAAUCAACCGAGAUUCCCCCAGUAGCGGCGAGCGAACGGGGAGGAGCCCAGAGCCUGAAUCAGUGUGUGUGUUAGUGGAAGCGUCUGGAAAGGCGCGCGAUACAGGGUGACAGCCCCGUACACAAAAAUGCACAUAUUGUGAGCUCGAUGAGUAGGGCGGGACACGUGGUAUCCUGUCUGAAUAUGGGGGGACCAUCCUCCAAGGCUAAAUACUCCUGACUGACCGAUAGUGAACCAGUACCGUGAGGGAAAGGCGAAAAGAACCCCGGCGAGGGGAGUGAAAAAGAACCUGAAACCGUGUACGUACAAGCAGUGGGAGCACGCUUAGGCGUGUGACUGCGUACCUUUUGUAUAAUGGGUCAGCGACUUAUAUUCUGUAGCAAGGUUAACCGAAUAGGGGAGCCGAAGGGAAACCGAGUCUUAACUGGGCGUUAAGUUGCAGGGUAUAGACCCGAAACCCGGUGAUCUAGCCAUGGGCAGGUUGAAGGUUGGGUAACACUAACUGGAGGACCGAACCGACUAAUGUUGAAAAAUUAGCGGAUGACUUGUGGCUGGGGGUGAAAGGCCAAUCAAACCGGGAGAUAGCUGGUUCUCCCCGAAAGCUAUUUAGGUAGCGCCUCGUGAACUCAUCUCCGGGGGUAGAGCACUGUUUCGGCAAGGGGGUCAUCCCGACUUACCAACCCGAUGCAAACUGCGAAUACCGGAGAAUGUUAUCACGGGAGACACACGGCGGGUGCUAACGUCCGUCGUGAAGAGGGAAACAACCCAGACCGCCAGCUAAGGUCCCAAAGUCAUGGUUAAGUGGGAAACGAUGUGGGAAGGCCCAGACAGCCAGGAUGUUGGCUUAGAAGCAGCCAUCAUUUAAAGAAAGCGUAAUAGCUCACUGGUCGAGUCGGCCUGCGCGGAAGAUGUAACGGGGCUAAACCAUGCACCGAAGCUGCGGCAGCGACGCUUAUGCGUUGUUGGGUAGGGGAGCGUUCUGUAAGCCUGUGAAGGUGUGCUGUGAGGCAUGCUGGAGGUAUCAGAAGUGCGAAUGCUGACAUAAGUAACGAUAAAGCGGGUGAAAAGCCCGCUCGCCGGAAGACCAAGGGUUCCUGUCCAACGUUAAUCGGGGCAGGGUGAGUCGACCCCUAAGGCGAGGCCGAAAGGCGUAGUCGAUGGGAAACAGGUUAAUAUUCCUGUACUUGGUGUUACUGCGAAGGGGGGACGGAGAAGGCUAUGUUGGCCGGGCGACGGUUGUCCCGGUUUAAGCGUGUAGGCUGGUUUUCCAGGCAAAUCCGGAAAAUCAAGGCUGAGGCGUGAUGACGAGGCACUACGGUGCUGAAGCAACAAAUGCCCUGCUUCCAGGAAAAGCCUCUAAGCAUCAGGUAACAUCAAAUCGUACCCCAAACCGACACAGGUGGUCAGGUAGAGAAUACCAAGGCGCUUGAGAGAACUCGGGUGAAGGAACUAGGCAAAAUGGUGCCGUAACUUCGGGAGAAGGCACGCUGAUAUGUAGGUGAAGCGACUUGCUCGUGGAGCUGAAAUCAGUCGAAGAUACCAGCUGGCUGCAACUGUUUAUUAAAAACACAGCACUGUGCAAACACGAAAGUGGACGUAUACGGUGUGACGCCUGCCCGGUGCCGGAAGGUUAAUUGAUGGGGUCAGCGCAAGCGAAGCUCUUGAUCGAAGCCCCGGUAAACGGCGGCCGUAACUAUAACGGUCCUAAGGUAGCGAAAUUCCUUGUCGGGUAAGUUCCGACCUGCACGAAUGGCGUAAUGAUGGCCAGGCUGUCUCCACCCGAGACUCAGUGAAAUUGAACUCGCUGUGAAGAUGCAGUGUACCCGCGGCAAGACGGAAAGACCCCGUGAACCUUUACUAUAGCUUGACACUGAACAUUGAGCCUUGAUGUGUAGGAUAGGUGGGAGGCUUAGAAGUGUGGACGCCAGUCUGCAUGGAGCCGACCUUGAAAUACCACCCUUUAAUGUUUGAUGUUCUAACGUUGACCCGUAAUCCGGGUUGCGGACAGUGUCUGGUGGGUAGUUUGACUGGGGCGGUCUCCUCCUAAAGAGUAACGGAGGAGCACGAAGGUUGGCUAAUCCUGGUCGGACAUCAGGAGGUUAGUGCAAUGGCAUAAGCCAGCUUGACUGCGAGCGUGACGGCGCGAGCAGGUGCGAAAGCAGGUCAUAGUGAUCCGGUGGUUCUGAAUGGAAGGGCCAUCGCUCAACGGAUAAAAGGUACUCCGGGGAUAACAGGCUGAUACCGCCCAAGAGUUCAUAUCGACGGCGGUGUUUGGCACCUCGAUGUCGGCUCAUCACAUCCUGGGGCUGAAGUAGGUCCCAAGGGUAUGGCUGUUCGCCAUUUAAAGUGGUACGCGAGCUGGGUUUAGAACGUCGUGAGACAGUUCGGUCCCUAUCUGCCGUGGGCGCUGGAGAACUGAGGGGGGCUGCUCCUAGUACGAGAGGACCGGAGUGGACGCAUCACUGGUGUUCGGGUUGUCAUGCCAAUGGCACUGCCCGGUAGCUAAAUGCGGAAGAGAUAAGUGCUGAAAGCAUCUAAGCACGAAACUUGCCCCGAGAUGAGUUCUCCCUGACUCCUUGAGAGUCCUGAAGGAACGUUGAAGACGACGACGUUGAUAGGCCGGGUGUGUAAGCGCAGCGAUGCGUUGAGCUAACCGGUACUAAUGAACCGUGAGGCUUAACCUUACAACGCCGAAGGUGUUU